GAGUUUGAUCUUGGCUCAGAUUGAACGCUAGCGGGAUGCCUUACACAUGCAAGUCGAACGGCAGCACGGACUUCGGUCUGGUUGGCGAGUGGCGAACGGGUGAGUAAUGUAUCGGAACGUGCCUAGUAGCGGGGGGAUAACUACGCGGAAGCGUAGCUAAUACCGCAUACGCCCUACGGGGAAAGCAGGGGAUCGCAAGACCUUGCACUAUUAGAGCGGCCGAUAUCGGAUUAGCUAGUUGGUGGGGUAACGGCUCACCAAGGCGACGAUCCGUAGCUGGUUUGAGAGGACGACCAGCCACACUGGGACUGAGACACGGCCCAGACUCCUACGGGAGGCAGCAGUGGGAAUUUUGGACAAUGGGGAAACCCUGAUCCAGCCAUCCCGCGUGUGCGAUGAAGGCCUUCGGUU
rnacentral:rRNA from 1 species